UGAAGUAAAAAAUUCGUAACAAGGUUUCCGUAGGUGAACCUGCGGAAGGAUCAUUACAACAAUAAUUCAACAUUGUGUCAGAGCAAUAACAUCUAAAACCGAUCAUCAAUUAAUUAAUUCAAAACUUUCAACAACGGAUCUCUAGGUUCUCGCAUCGAUGAAGAACGCAGCGAAAUGCGAUACGUAGUACGAAACGCAAGUCGUGAAUCAUCGAAUCUUUGAACGCACAUUGCGCUGUGUGGCAUUCCACACAGCAUGCCUGUUUGAGCAAUAUUUCUCUCUCGCAAGGUGUUGGGCACCACGCCGGCAGGCGUCUGCCAGAAACGAAAUUGUCUAAAACAGUUAAGCUUGUUACAGACUCUUGAUCUUAUUCUCAAAUCAGGUAGGACUACCCGCUGAACUUAAGCAUAUCAAUAAAGCGGGAGGAAAA
rnacentral:rRNA from 1 species